rnacentral:lncRNA from 1 species
CUAUUCAUAAACAUGCAAGUACAAAACAAAGUAUUAUUACCAAUAUUUUCUGUUGUCUUUUUUUAUUAUUAUUUUGUGAAUAUAAAUGUUAUUUUGUAGGCUGCAAAUUAAUAAUACAACACUUAUUUGCUUUUUAUAUAUCAAUUUUCAUGCAGCAAUAAGAUGCUCUUGAUCUGAUAUGCAUGUAAUAUUUGCCACUGGAUCACAUACCCUAACCCACUCAAUUUCUUAUACCUUACAUAUGUGUUUUUUUCUCUAAUGACAGCAAUCAACCUAAUGUUCAGUUUUUAUAUUUGAUUUAAAAAAAUUGAUAUAAUUGGUUUUAUUUUCUACAGUAA